GGGGUAUAGCUCAGUGGUAGAGUGCAUGCUUAGCAUGCAUGAGGUCCUGGGUUCAAUCCCCAGUACCUCCA
rnacentral:tRNA from 1 species